GACAGGGUUGAAACGGCUUCUUUCUACCAAUAUCUCUUGGAUUUCUUGUCCGAAAAAACUGCCAGUGUCAGCACUGCACACACUGGUGCCCUCAGAGAGGUCUGCAAAACUCUAUUGUCAAGGAUCAUAUGGCCCUAUUCCUGAAAUGGCUUUAUCAACACCAUCCACUAAUCACUGCCCCCAUCUACACCAAUUUCAAGGAGUUAGGAGACUUAUGUAAUAAAGUACUACUCUUCACUGAGGAUGACCGGAUGAGAAACCAAGAAAGUUAAAAGAGACCACAAGGGAGCAAGGAGUGAUGAAAGACUUCAAGCCUGAGAGAAAGUUAAAAUGAGGGUGAACGUGUGGUAGAGGAGGACAUAUGAAAGAGAGGGAGAAGGAUGGAGAGCCUGAAGCCUUUCUCCCUCUAUCCAGCGCUCGUCUUCUGCAGCAUCAUGGGAGUUGGUGUGCUACAUUCGAGACGGAAUCAGCUAAUAGCCUACAUCCACUGCUCGCUGUACUUUUACUGCUUAGUCCUGUAUCUUUUUGAAAAAAUUCCAUUUCUUUCCUGCCCUCCUUUGUCACCAUCACACGAAAAUCCCAGUCUGAUCGAAAGCCAAAAACAAAGUGAUGAUGUUAUUUCCUUGCUAGUGUUGAACCAUGGGUCUUAUGUGACUUAUUCCAUUGAGGGUUUCUUACAUCUGGUUUUAUGAAAGAGUAGUAUCCACUGCAGCACUCUGUAGACCAGGGUUCAAAAUGAGUGCUGCUCCAUUUGUGCGAUUGAAAAAUGCUUAGCUUACUUGAAGAAAUUGUUUUUUUUUCUUCUUUUUUUGCCACCUAGUGGUUGAUAAUACUUCAAACAUUAAAUCUGGUUCAAGGUUCAGCUUGAGCUUGACCUAGAAAAACCUCAUGCAUCUGUCUGCAAGGUGUGGAACAUUCAUCGGGGCCAUUUCGCAUUGUUAAUAUGUAAAAUCACAGACACAUAUGCACGUGCGCACGCACGCACACACACACACACACACACACACACACUCCAGUGGGACAGUGUGAACAGUCCGUUCAUCCGAUCACGGCUCACCAGGGAGAUACUUGUCACCACGGAGACCAGCAACAGAGCCACUAGGGCAUUGUGGGACAGCUCAGUCUCCCAACAUAUAGACAAUCUGCCAUCGCUGAUAGAUGACAAGGAAGAUUUAUGUGCCUUUUGAUUCAACUGUUUUACUGAUUACCUUUCUGUCCAUGUGUUGCUCUUUUCUAUUAGCCUGGUUUAUUUCCUCUCUGAACUGUUAUGCAGUCGGAUCAUGAAUGAAAUUGGCCAACAAAAAUGACAUUUUCAAAUUAU